CGGGGCUUAAAGUCUUGUAAUUGGAAUGAUGGGAAUUUAAACCUCUUCCAGAGUAUCAAUUGGAGGGCAAGUCUGGUGCCAGCAGCCGCGGUAAUUCCAGCUCCAAUAGCGUAUAUUAAAAUUGUUGCAGUUAAAAAGCUCGUAGUUGAAUUUCUGCUGCAUUGCUUGUGUCCCUCUGGGGUCUGUGCAUGUGGCUUUUUUCGGACGAAGUUUCUUUGUCUGAAUGUUUACUUUGAGAAAAUUAGAGUGCUCAAAGCAGGCUUUCGCCUUGAAUAGUUUAGCAUGGAAUAAUAAAGUAGGACUUUGGUUCUAUUUUGUUGGUUUUAGGUACCAAAGUAAUGGUUAAUAGGAACAGUUGGGGGCAUUCGUAUUUAACUGUCAGAGGUGAAAUUCUUAGAUUUGUUAAAGACGAACUACUGCGAAAGCAUUUGCCAAGGAUGUUUUCAUUAAUCAAGAAC
rnacentral:rRNA from 1 species